GCACAUGAUAACUAAGUUUAUUUUAGCUACGGACUAAAAAGGUAUGGUGUAAUUCCAUAUAUGUGUA
rnacentral:tRNA from 1 species